rnacentral:lncRNA from 1 species
CCUUCAAAACAAAAAUUUACUAAAUUUUUACAAUGGUCAAUAUGUUUAUCAUGUUUAUGUGUUAUAAAAAAAUGCAAUAUAUAAUAAUUUCCAUUAUUGAAAGUUUACAUGAAUAAAGUUAAUCUCUCGACACUCUAGUAACCAUUUUAAAACAAACGUAUCAACGCUGCAAACCCGAAAGUCUGGCAUCUCGGACUCCUCCCUCGGAUGACCUAAAUAUGCACGCAUUACUUCCACACAACAAUUACAGUGAUACACAGAUAUUAAUGGCAUUUCCUAGUAGACAAACAUAUAUCAUUAUAAAUAGCUGAAUACACAUUUGAUAAUAUCAUCAGAGACCUUAAAC